rnacentral:rRNA from 1 species
AGCGAACGCUGGCGGCAGGCCUAACACAUGCAAGUCGAACGAACCUUUCGGGGUUAGUGGCGGACGGGUGAGUAACACGUGGGAACGUGCCUUUAGGUUCGGAAUAACUCAGGGAAACUUGUGCUAAUACCGAAUGUGCCCUUCGGGGGAAAGAUUUAUCGCCUUUAGAGCGGCCCGCGUCUGAUUAGCUAGUUGGUUGAGGUAAUGGCUCACCAAGGCGACGAUCAGUAGCUGGUCUGAGAGGAUGAUCAGCCACAUUGGGACUGAGACACGGCCCAAACUCCGCCGGAAGCCAGCAGGGGGGAUUCUUGCAAAAGGGGCGAAGGCCGGACGCAGCAAUCCCGGUGAAAUAAGAAGGUUUUUGGAAUAGAAAAUUUUUUUCCCGGGGUACAAAAAGCACGCCACCGGGAGAAGAGCCCCCGCCUACCUUGGUC